UGUGCAUGAAACUCAUGGCCACAAAAUAACAACCUCAUCUGAACAUAGACAUGGAAGGGAAGAAAGGGGACAUACAGAAAGAAAAGACUCACACAACUCUGGGAGACACAUGUAUGGCCACAAAGCUUCAUCUGAGCAUGGAGAGGUGGAACAUACAGACAGACAAGACCACCACAAGUCUCAUGGACAUGUGCAUGAGGCCCAUGGCCACAUAACAACACAUGGACAUGGAAGGGAGGAAGAGAGGCAUACAGAAAGAAGAGUUUCGCACAACUCUGAGGGACACACACAUGGCCACAGAACCUCAUCUGAGCAUGGCGAGGAGCAUACACCCAGGCAAGGUAUAUAAUUUAGAUAUAGUGGUAGAUAUGUUUUGGUAGC